GAAACCGGAGCUGAUACCGGAUAAUAUAUUGAACCGCAUGGUUCAAUAGUGAAAGACGGUUUUGCUGUCACUUAUAGAUGGAUCCGCGCCGCAUUAGCUAGUUGGUAAGGUAACGGCUUACCAAGGCAACGAUGCGUAGCCGACCUGAGAGGGUGAUCGGCCACACUGGAACUGAGACACGGUCCAG
rnacentral:rRNA from 1 species